UGCACUUUUUGGUAAGAAGAUGUUAACAAAAGUUGUUCGUCAUGAUGAGGGCUACAACUUUGCUUAAUAUCCUUUUAACAAAUUAUGCGUAUUUAAGGAGAUAGGGCUGCGCAUGCGCAGAACGUAUCUCCCUAGCUUUGCACUUUUUGGUAAGAAGAUGUUAACAAAAGUUGUUCGUCAUGAUGAGGGCUACAACUUUGCUUAAUAUCCUUUUAACAAAUUAUGCG
rnacentral:miRNA from 1 species